rnacentral:rRNA from 1 species
UACGUAGGGGGCAAGCGUUAUCCGGAAUCACUGGGCGUAAAGCGUGCGUAGGUGGCGCGUUAAGUGAGAUGUUAAAUCGUGUGGCUCAACCAUAUCGAUGCGUCUCAUACUGGCGUGCUAGAGGACAGCAGAGGCAAGUGGAAUUUGUAGUGUAGCAGUGAAAUGCGUAGAUAUUACAAGGAACACCAAUGGCGAAGGCAGCUUGCUGGGCUACUCCUGACACUGAGGUACGAAAGCGUGGGGAGCGAACAGG